UUUCUUUCCUGGUGUAAAAUCCUGUAAAUGUUAAACUUGUAAAUAGUUAAAUAUAAAAUACUUGCGUUCGCUGAUUAUUUAAUUGGAUAUGAAUUGAACAUAUUUGGCAACUUUAGAAGAUGAGCACGUGAUCGGUGGGGGAGGGGAGCAACGGUUAGCGUCUGAUACCAGAGAAAAGUCUCUGUGAAUAAAACGGAUAUUAUCUCAAAUAUAAUCUCGAUUACAGAUUGCAGAUAACGAGGAUAUGAAGAACAUGAAGAUGGACUGGUUUCACAUGCAGAUGUUGCAGCAUCUGCAUCUGAGGUUGAGAAAACACUCAAUCUACCUGCCAAUCCUCAUCUGAUUUUGCUAGGUUAGUGUGUCAUUGCACAUGAUGAAGAAGAAACAUUUACUGAUGGCUGAGAUAUAAAAUUGUUAACAUUGCUGUUGUGCACAAUUUUUAAAAUUGCUUCUUUUUUUUCUUUUUUUCUUUGUGAGUGUCCAGUCAACAUUUUUGACUGCAGUUGCAAGUGUUUGCUGUGCACUACAUCUUCAACCUGCAGUAUCAAGAGGCGGCUUGUUGCACGUUAGAGUUUUUUCAAAGAUGAUUCUAUGGAAUAAACCCAGAAAGAGGCUCAAAGACCUGCCGAGGCAAGGUAGUCUCCAAGAAGACGGGGAAGGUGGUGAAUAAGAAGUCCACUACAGUCAAUCCAAAGGUUGCCACUCUACAAAAAAAUCAAAUGGACUUCAAAUGGGACUUCAU